CUGUUAUACAUACUUAGCAUUCAAUAAAGAGAGAUUUCAUGUAAAACAUAUUGGUAAGGUAAUUAAGGUAGUUACAGCAAGAUUGUGUUGAAAUACACUAGUAAACAACAUUAAUCUUCCUUUUUAAUGGAGUCAUGUCAUGAGAUGCAGAUUAACCUCUUAGUUAGGGUUUACUGAUGAUGACCUUAUAUACUAGGCUCAAACACAGUUCAGAAUCUCCAAAAUCACAAAAGAAAUAUAAUAAGGUGAAGGUUUUUAGAGGUGGGACAAAUUCUAAUUACAAAUGAAGCGAUACAGGUGUCCAUUACUACCACAAGUUUAUUUCAAAGACUAACAUGAUUAUUCACUAGAGUGAGAUUUGUUAGGAAUUCAAAGUUAUUUUUU